rnacentral:rRNA from 1 species
GCGGCGUGCUUAACACAUGCAAGUCGAACGAUGAACCUCCUUCGGGAGGGGAUUAGUGGCGAACGGGUGAGUAACACGUGGGCAAUCUGCCCUUCACUCUGGGACAAGCCCUGGAAACGGGGUCUAAUACCGGAUACGACACGGGGUCGCAUGACCUCCGUGUGGAAAGCUCCGGCGGUGAAGGAUGAGCCCGCGGCCUAUCAGCUUGUUGGUGGGGUGAUGGCCUACCAAGGCGACGACGGGUAGCCGGCCUGAGAGGGCGACCGGCCACACUGGGACUGAGACACGGCCCAGACUCCUACGGGAGGCAGCAGUGGGGAAUAUUGCACAAUGGGCGAAAGCCUGAUGCAGCGACGCCGCGUGAGGGAUGACGGCCUUCGGGUUGUAAACCUCUUUCAGCAGGGAAGAAGCGAGAGUGACGGUACCUGCAGAAGAAGCGCCGGCUAACUACGUGCCAGCAGCCGCGGUAAUACGUAGGGCGCAAGCGU